AGAGUUUGAUCCUGGCUCAGGACGAACGCUGGCGGCGUGCCUAAUACAUGCAAGUCGAACGAAACUUUCUUACACCGAAUGCUUGCAUUCACCGUAAGAAGUUGAGUGGCGGACGGGUGAGUAACACGUGGGUAACCUGCCUAAAAGAAGGGGAUAACACUUGGAAACAGGUGCUAAUACCGUAUAUCUCUAAGGAUCGCAUGAUCCUUAGAUGAAAGAUGGUUCUGCUAUCGCUUUUAGAUGGACCCGCGGCGUAUUAACUAGUUGGUGGGGUAACGGCCUACCAAGGUGAUGAUACGUAGCCGAACUGAGAGGUUGAUCGGCCACAUUGGGACUGAGACACGGCCCAAACUCCUACGGGAGGCAGCAGUAGGGAAUCUUCCACAAUGGACGCAAGUCUGAUGGAGCAACGCCGCGUGAGUGAAGAAGGUCUUCGGAUCGUAAAACUCUGUUGUUAGAGAAGAACACGAGUGAGAGUAACUGUUCAUUCGAUGACGGUAUCUAACCAGCAAGUCACGGCUAACUACGUGCCAGCAGCCGCGGUAAUACGUAGGUGGCAAGCGUUGUCCGG
rnacentral:rRNA from 1 species